CUCCUUUUUAAUGAUGACAAAAUCCUUUGAGUAUACCUUUCUUUCAAUUUUCAAAUGCUUCUUUUUCAAUCAAAGCAUGUGUAUCAAAUUCAUUCAAAUUUUAUUAAAUUUCAUAAACUCUCCCUAAAUAUGAUAAUUAUGUUCAAAUUUAUUUUAUUUACUCCCCUUUAAUGUGUGCCAAUUGAUCUUUGGGGUUUCAAAGUACAACUUUUCAUAUUUAAAUAAAUGAAUCAAUUAAAUGCUUCAAAUUAUCCUCAUUAUGCUUCUCAUUAUUCUCCUCCAUUUUAUCAUUAUCAAAAAGAUAAAUAUUAGCAAUUAAGAGCAUUACACAUUAAAAAAAAAGAAGACAAUACAUC
rnacentral:lncRNA from 1 species